UACGAAGGGGGCUAGCGUUGCUCGGAAUCACUGGGCGUAAAGCGCACGUAGGCGGAUUGUUAAGUCAGGGGUGAAAUCCUGGAGCUCAACUCCAGAACUGCCUUUGAUACUGGCGAUCUUGAGUCCGGGAGAGGUGAGUGGAACUGCGGGUGUAGCGGUGAAAUGCGUAGAUAUCCGGAGGAACACCGGUGGCGAAGGCGGCUUCCUGGACCGACACUGACGCUGAGGCGCGAAAGCUAGGGGAGCAAACGGG
rnacentral:rRNA from 1 species